rnacentral:rRNA from 1 species
GGUUAAGCGACUAAGCGUACACGGUGGAUGCCCUGGCAGUCAGAGGCGAUGAAGGACGUGCUAAUCUGCGAUAAGCGUCGGUAAGGUGAUAUGAACCGUUAUAACCGGCGAUUUCCGAAUGGGGAAACCCAGUGUGAUUCGUCACACUAUCAUUAACUGAAUCCAUAGGUUAAUGAGGCGAACCGGGGGAACUGAAACAUCUAAGUACCCCGAGGAAAAGAAAUCAACCGAGAUUCCCCCAGUAGCGGCGAGCGAACGGGGAGCAGCCCAGAGCCUGAAUCAGUGUGUGUGUUAGUGGAAGCGUCUGGAAAGGCGCGCGAUACAGGGUGACAGCCCCGUACACAAAAAUGCACAUGCUGUGAGCUCGAUGAGUAGGGCGGGACACGUGGUAUCCUGUCUGAAUAUGGGGGGACCAUCCUCCAAGGCUAAAUACUCCUGACUGACCGAUAGUGAACCAGUACCGUGAGGGAAAGGCGAAAAGAACCCCGGCGAGGGGAGUGAAAAAGAACCUGAAACCGUGUACGUACAAGCAGUGGGAGCACGCUUAGGCGUGUGACUGCGUACCUUUUGUAUAAUGGGUCAGCGACUUAUAUUCUGUAGCAAGGUUAACCGAAUAGGGGAGCCGAAGGGAAACCGAGUCUUAACUGGGCGUUAAGUUGCAGGGUAUAGACCCGAAACCCGGUGAUCUAGCCAUGGGCAGGUUGAAGGUUGGGUAACACUAACUGGAGGACCGAACCGACUAAUGUUGAAAAAUUAGCGGAUGACUUGUGGCUGGGGGUGAAAGGCCAAUCAAACCGGGAGAUAGCUGGUUCUCCCCGAAAGCUAUUUAGGUAGCGCCUCGUGAAUUCAUCUCCGGGGGUAGAGCACUGUUUCGGCAAGGGGGUCAUCCCGACUUACCAACCCGAUGCAAACUGCGAAUACCGGAGAAUGUUAUCACGGGAGACACACGGCGGGUGCUAACGUCCGUCGUGAAGAGGGAAACAACCCAGACCGCCAGCUAAGGUCCCAAAGUCAUGGUUAAGUGGGAAACGAUGUGGGAAGGCCCAGACAGCCAGGAUGUUGGCUUAGAAGCAGCCAUCAUUUAAAGAAAGCGUAAUAGCUCACUGGUCGAGUCGGCCUGCGCGGAAGAUGUAACGGGGCUAAACCAUGCACCGAAGCUGCGGCAGCGACGCUUAUGCGUUGUUGGGUAGGGGAGCGUUCUGUAAGCCUGCGAAGGUGUGCUGUGAGGCAUGCUGGAGGUAUCAGAAGUGCGAAUGCUGACAUAAGUAACGAUAAAGCGGGUGAAAAGCCCGCUCGCCGGAAGACCAAGGGUUCCUGUCCAACGUUAAUCGGGGCAGGGUGAGUCGACCCCUAAGGCGAGGCCGAAAGGCGUAGUCGAUGGGAAACAGGUUAAUAUUCCUGUACUUGGUGUUACUGCGAAGGGGGGACGGAGAAGGCUAUGUUGGCCGGGCGACGGUUGUCCCGGUUUAAGCGUGUAGGCUGGUUUUCCAGGCAAAUCCGGAAAAUCAAGGCUGAGGCGUGAUGACGAGGCACUACGGUGCUGAAGCAACAAAUGCCCUGCUUCCAGGAAAAGCCUCUAAGCAUCAGGUAACAUCAAAUCGUACCCCAAACCGACACAGGUGGUCAGGUAGAGAAUACCAAGGCGCUUGAGAGAACUCGGGUGAAGGAACUAGGCAAAAUGGUGCCGUAACUUCGGGAGAAGGCACGCUGAUAUGUAGGUGAAGCGACUUGCUCGUGGAGCUGAAAUCAGUCGAAGAUACCAGCUGGCUGCAACUGUUUAUUAAAAACACAGCACUGUGCAAACACGAAAGUGGACGUAUACGGUGUGACGCCUGCCCGGUGCCGGAAGGUUAAUUGAUGGGGUUAGCGCAAGCGAAGCUCUUGAUCGAAGCCCCGGUAAACGGCGGCCGUAACUAUAACGGUCCUAAGGUAGCGAAAUUCCUUGUCGGGUAAGUUCCGACCUGCACGAAUGGCGUAAUGAUGGCCAGGCUGUCUCCACCCGAGACUCAGUGAAAUUGAACUCGCUGUGAAGAUGCAGUGUACCCGCGGCAAGACGGAAAGACCCCGUGAACCUUUACUAUAGCUUGACACUGAACAUUGAGCCUUGAUGUGUAGGAUAGGUGGGAGGCUUUGAAGUGUGGACGCCAGUCUGCAUGGAGCCGACCUUGAAAUACCACCCUUUAAUGUUUGAUGUUCUAACGUGGACCCGUAAUCCGGGUUGCGGACAGUGUCUGGUGGGUAGUUUGACUGGGGCGGUCUCCUCCUAAAGAGUAACGGAGGAGCACGAAGGUUGGCUAAUCCUGGUCGGACAUCAGGAGGUUAGUGCAAUGGCAUAAGCCAGCUUGACUGCGAGCGUGACGGCGCGAGCAGGUGCGAAAGCAGGUCAUAGUGAUCCGGUGGUUCUGAAUGGAAGGGCCAUCGCUCAACGGAUAAAAGGUACUCCGGGGAUAACAGGCUGAUACCGCCCAAGAGUUCAUAUCGACGGCGGUGUUUGGCACCUCGAUGUCGGCUCAUCACAUCCUGGGGCUGAAGUAGGUCCCAAGGGUAUGGCUGUUCGCCAUUUAAAGUGGUACGCGAGCUGGGUUUAGAACGUCGUGAGACAGUUCGGUCCCUAUCUGCCGUGGGCGCUGGAGAAUUGAGGGGGGCUGCUCCUAGUACGAGAGGACCGGAGUGGACGCAUCACUGGUGUUCGGGUUGUCAUGCCAAUGGCACUGCCCGGUAGCUAAAUGCGGAAGAGAUAAGUGCUGAAAGCAUCUAAGCACGAAACUUGCCCCGAGAUGAGUUCUCCCUGACUCCUUGAGAGUCCUGAAGGAACGUUGAAGACGACGACGUUGAUAGGCCGGGUGUGUAAGCGCAGCGAUGCGUUGAGCUAACCGGUACUAAUGAACCGUGAGGCUUAACCUU